UACGGAGGGUGCGAGCGUUGUCCGGAAUCACUGGGCGUAAAGGGCGCGCAGGCGGCUCUGAAAGUCAGAUGUGAAAGCCCCGGGCUUAACCUGGGAACUGCAUUUGAUACUCUAGGGCUUGAGCACUGUAGAGGCUAAUGGAAUUCCGGGUGUAGCGGUGGAAUGCGUAGAGAUCCGGAAGAACACCGGUGGCGAAGGCGGUUAGCUGGGCAGUUGCUGGACACUGAGGCGCGACAGCGUGGGGAGCAAACAGGG
rnacentral:rRNA from 1 species